rnacentral:snRNA from 1 species
GGAUGUGAGCGGGACCAGGAUGAGAUAUCUGUCACCCCGAUGAUCACCCAGGUUUAUCUGAGUGACAGAGCUAGCUAGAUGGUGUGUCAUCUUCCUCCCUCACAACUCCUCGUGUUUCCCUACAGAAGGUACAUGCUUCAUCAAAAAGGAUAACAAUCCCUGAUAGGGAAGAACAGUUAUUUAGUCUUAGUUAAGUGUAUAUGAGUUUAUGGGAUAAUAUAUAUAUGAGUUUUAUUCAACCAUAAAGAAGAAUAGAACCAUCAUUU